rnacentral:rRNA from 1 species
UACGUAGGCAGCAAGCGUUGUUCGGAGUUACUGGGCGUAAAGAGUGUGUAGGCGGUUCUCUAAGUUCCGUGUGAAAUCUCCCGGCUCAACUGGGAGGGUGCGCGGAAAACUGGAGGGCUUGAGUAUGGGAGAGGAAAGCGGAAUUCCUGGUGUAGCGGUGAAAUGCGUAGAGAUCCGGAGGAACACCGAAGGCGAAGGCAGUGUCCUGGGGAGUACCUGACGCUCAGGUGCGAAAGCCAGGGGAGCGAACGGG